GACGGAGGGUGCUAGCGUUGUUCGGAAUUACUGGGCGUAAAGGGCGCGUAGGCGGCCUGGUGAGUCGGAUGUGAAAGCCCGGGGCUCAACCCCGGAACGGCAUCCGAGACGGCCAGGCUGGAGACCGGGAGAGGAGAGUGGAAUAGCCAGUGUAGAGGUGAAAUUCGUAGAUAUUGGCUGGAACACCGGUGGCGAAAGCGGCUCUCUGGCCCGGUUCUGACGCUGAGGCGCGAAAGCGUGGGGAGCAAACAGG
rnacentral:rRNA from 1 species